rnacentral:rRNA from 1 species
GACGAACGCUGGCGGCGUGCUUAACACAUGCAAGUCGAACGGAAAGGCCUCUUUCGGGGGGUACUCGAGUGGCGAACGGGUGAGUAACACGUGAGUAACCUGCCCUUGACUUUGGGAUAACUUCAGGAAACUGGGGCUAAUACCGGAUAGGGGAUCCUGCUGCCUGGUGGGGGUUGGAAAGUUUCGGCGGUUGGGGAUGGACUCGCGGCUUAUCAGCUUGUUGGAGGGGUAGUGGCUUACCAAGGCUUUGACGGGUAGCCGGCCUGAGAGGGUGACCGGCCACAUUGGGACUGAGAUACGGCCCAGACUCCUACGGGAGGCAGCAGUGGGGAAUAUUGCACAAUGGGUGGAAGCCUGAUGCAGCAACGCCGUGUGCGGGAUGACGGCCUUCGGGUUGUAAACCGCUUUCGCUCAUGACGAAGCUUUGUGUGACGGUAGUGGGUAAAGAAGCACCGGCUAACUACGUG